rnacentral:rRNA from 1 species
UACGGGGGGGAGCAAGCGUUGUUCGGAUUUACUGGGCGUAAAGGGCGCGUAGGCGGCCAGUGCAAGUCAGUUGUGAAAUCUCCGAGCUUAACUCGGAAAGGUCAACUGAUACUGCUCGGCUAGAGUGCGGAAGGGGCAACUGGAAUUCUUGGUGUAGCGGUGAAAUGCGUAGAUAUCAAGAGGAACACCUGCGGCGAAGGCGGGUUGCUGGGCCGACACUGACGCUGAAGCGCGAAAGCUAGGGGAGCGAACGGG